GCGGAUGUAAUUCAAUGGUAGAAUGUCAGCUUCCCAAGCUGAUCGUUGCGGGUUCGAUUCCCGUCAUCCGCUCCA
rnacentral:tRNA from 1 species